AUGGUGCGAUCCUGUAGCAAGUCGCAAGGGGAAAAAGACAUCGAGGCUGCUGCCCCAAAUCUGAGUGCCCUGCCUGUCCACGGGGAGAUGCUGUACCAAAUCGCAAGUGGAGUACUAUACCAGAUUGAUUUGCUUGCCCAUCCGUGGCCAAAGCUUGGAGGAGGUGACGUUGGUGGCCAUUUUUUGCCCAGGCCGGGACAUGCGCUGCGGAUCAGGCGUUGCCCACCAGCGAGGCGGCAUCUCACUGUUGCUUAUGUUGGAAGUCCAUUUGCGAUGGGCCAUCUUCUGUUUGUCUGUCGCCUUAGGCUGCGGACGUGCUGA
rnacentral:rRNA from 1 species